CAAUCAAGCUGCUUCGUAGGGCGGGUCUUGGCGUGGCCAUAGAGGGAUUCGUAAUUUUGCGAUUAGUGACGAUUCUCUCUGACCAAUCAGUAGUCUUGGAACCUCAACGGAGGUGAUCCUAAAAAAAGUACCUGUUAGCAGGCCUACCAGGGACUUUUUUUUGUAAUGGAAAUACAAAAAAGGUGAGUAGAGUCAGGGCGAGUUGAGCAGGUACCAUGUAAUGGAAAAACACCCUAAGAGUCUACAGCAAUGCUAGCAGCUCUCUGAAGCUGUACCUUUGCACAGCUGUGCUCUUAAACUAAACGCUAACGGCCGCAUGCUAACAUGGUCACAA